rnacentral:rRNA from 1 species
AUUGAACGCUGGCGGCAGGCCUAACACAUGCAAGUCGAACGAGUGGCGGACGGGUGAGUAAUGUCUGGGAAACUGCCUGAUGGAGGGGGAUAACUACUGGAAACGGUAGCUAAUACCGCAUACCAUCGGAUGUGCCCAGAUGGGAUUAGCUAGUAGGUGGGGUAAAGGCUCACCUAGGCGACGAUCCCUAGCUGGUCUGAGAGGAUGACCAGCCACAGUGGAACUGAGACACGGUCCAGACUAAUACGGGAGGAAGCAGUGGGGAAUAUGGCACAAGGGGCGCAAGCCUGAGGCAGCCAGGCCGCGUGUAUGAAGAAGGACUUCGGGUAGUAAAGUACGUUCAGCGGGGAGGCGUUACCCGCAGAAGAAGCACCGGCUAACUCCGUGCCAGCAGCCGCGGUAAUAC